rnacentral:rRNA from 1 species
CCUACGGGAGGCAGCAGUGAGGAAUAUUGGUCAAUGGGCGCGAGCCUGAACCAGCCAAGUAGCGUGAAGGAUGACUGCCCUACGGGUUGUAAACUUCUUUUAUAAAGGAAUAAAGUGAGGCACGUGUGCCAUUACGUAUGUACUUUAUGAAUAAGGCACGGCUAACUCUGUGCCAGCUGCCGCGGUAAUACGGAGGAUCCGAGCGUUAUCCGGAUUGAUUGGGUUUAAAGGGAGCGUAGAUGGGUUGUUAAGUAAGUUGUGAAAGUUUGCGGCUCAACCGUAGAAGUGCAGUUGAAACUGGCAGUCUUGAGUACAGUAGAGGUGGGCGGAAUUCGUGGUGUAGCGGUGAAAUGCUUAGAUAUCACGAAGAACUCCGAUUGCGAAGGCAGUUCACUGGACUGCAACUGACACUGAGGCUCGAAAGUGUGGGUAUCAAACAGGAUUAGAUACCCUGGUAGUC